UGGGGAAUAUUGGACAAUGGGCGCAAGCCUGAUCCAGCCAUGCCGCGUGAGUGAUGAAGGCCUUAGGGUUGUAAUGCUCUUUUUGGCGGGGACGAUAAUGACGGUACCCGCAGAAUAAGCCCCGGCUAACUUCGUGCCAGCAGCCGCGGUAAUACGAAGGGGGCUAGCGUUGUUCGGAAUUACUGGGCGUAAAGCGCACGUAGGCGGAUCAGCAAGUCAGGGGUGAAAUCCCGGGGCUCAACCUCGGAACUGCCUCUGAUACUGCUGGUCUGGAGUCCGGAAGGGGUGGGUGGAAUUCCUAGUGUAGAGGUGAAAUUCGCAGAUAUUAGGAAGAACACCGGUGGCGAAGGCGGCCCACUGGUCCGGUACUGACGCUGAGGUGCGAAAGCGUGGGGAGCAAACAGGAUUAGAUACCCACGUAGUCCCUGAGCGGGCUGGCAAGGCGCAU
rnacentral:rRNA from 1 species